rnacentral:rRNA from 1 species
AUUGAACGCUGGCGGCAUGCCUUACACAUGCAAGUCGAACGCGAAAGGGGGGCAACCCCCGAGUAGAGUGGCGAACGGGUGAGUAAUACAUCGGAACGUAUCCAGUAGCGGGGGAUAACCUCUCGAAAGAGAGGCUAAUACCGCAUACGACCUACGGGUGAAAGAGGGGGAUCGCAAGACCUCUCACUAUUGGAGCGGCCGAUGUCGGAUUAGCUAGUUGGUGGGGUAACGGCCCACCAAGGCUACGAUCCGUAGCUGGUCUGAGAGGACGACCAGCCACACUGGAACUGAGACACGGUCCAGACUCCUACGGGAGGCAGCAGUGGGGAAUUUUGGACAAUGGGCGCAAGCCUGAUCCAGCCAUG